rnacentral:lncRNA from 1 species
UGAAAAAAUACAUGAAUAAAAAUGAAAUGAAUGAAUGGUAAAUUCUUUUAUAAUCACGAAAAGACACCACCCAAUCUAGAUGAUAAUGGGUUUAUUGUGAACCACAAAUUUUUGGGAAGGAGAAUGCAACUUGUAGAUUCAUUACUGUCAAAUGAAUACUAGAUACUGAUGUAGUGAUGCACACUACCUUCAACACAGAUAAUUCUCUGGGCCACAUACAAAGGCAGUACGCUUUAGUGAGCACCACAGAUUAGCCAUUGGACUCCAUUAUAAUAACCUUUUGGAGUAGUUAAUAUCCCAAUUGUACAUCUAUCGAUAAUCCAUCAAAAUGAACUCCCGAUUCUGCUUCAAAAUGCAGAAAGCGCAAUGUGCAUGGAAAAACACUUUGCACUUGGAAAUACAAUUCCAGGCCAUUGGAAUUGGAGGUCCACAUGUUUCUGUGAUCAAAUUUGACAUUUUCUAAAAUUAGAUUUAGUUUACAAAAGCAAGUUCAACUAGGAGAACAAAUAAUGAGAUAUUGAAAAGGCAUGUACACAUUAUUCCAGGUAAUAAUCACUAACCAAUGCAAGCACUCCCGUUAACCCGUAUCAUCUUAAAACAACUGAUGAAUGAUUUUCCAUCUAAGCAUUUCCCCAUUUCCUUCAAACAACAGUCUACGGUUUGAAUGCAGUUACCAUUUCAGGAAUUGUCUACAGA